UACGUAGGGUGCAAGCGUUAAUCGGAAUUACUGGGCGUAAAGCGUGCGCAGGCGGCUUUGCAAGACAGAUGUGAAAUCCCCGGGCUUAACCUGGGAAUGGCAUUUGGGACUGCAAGGCUGGAGUGCGGCAGAGGAGACUGGAAUUCCUGGUGUAGCAGUGAAAUGCGUAGAUAUCAGGAGGAACACCGAUGGCGAAGGCAGGUCUCUGGGCUGACACUGACGCUCAUGCACGAAAGCGUGGGGAGCGAACAGG
rnacentral:rRNA from 1 species